CUUAUGCGCUGAAAACACAUUUAGUUCAGUGGUUAUCAACAAACCUGACCUCCCUCAAUCACAGCUCUGCCUUUUAACUAAAAACUUUAAACAAAACUUUUUUUAUGAUUCAGUUAGAACGUCUACAGCAACAGUACUGCUAAUUUUUUAUUAUCUUUAUUAAAUAACCCAUCUUUGAAACAUUUUAAAGUCUAAAAACUAACCGCCAUCUCAUUGCAUAGCAACAGCCUAGGACCCAUAAGUCCGACUCCGAGGCAAGUGUUGCGAAAUAGCUGAACUUUGUUCUAAGGUUUUGUUCCUCCCUAGAAAUUUUGAACCAACACCAUGUCUCGGGUGCUAUUUUUCAUAGUUGGCACAUACUCAGGUUUAUAUGUUGCACAAAAUUAUGAGGUUCCAAAGUUGCCUGGUCCAAUAGGAUUGAUCGAUUACAUAAAAGAACUGGCACAGAAAUUUGAAAAAAAAGACAAAUGACAAAGGCUGACAUGAUGAAACAUUUACAUAAGAACUUGUUUCAAAUACAACUGUUACUAUGUAACAUGAUCUCUUGUGGUUAAGUUGUGAUGCAUUUGAUUGUUAACUGAGAUUUGUCUGAUUUUACUUAUAUAAAGAUUGUUCCUCUUUUAACAUUUGUGAGGUUUGUAUUUGUAUGAAACAUCAUUUUAAACAUUUAUUUAAUUUGCAGUCAAACUAAUUGUUUUACCUAAUCAUCCUACUCAUAAAAAUAAACAAUACUUGAAAGCCUUGUAAAGAUUUGUAAAAUAAGUAAAAAUUAAAUUUGUGUCCUGCUAUUUCCUUUUUUUAGCAAGUCCUAUAUUGUUGAUAACAUAAAACUAAUAAACACUUUAAAACCAA